CCUACGGGUGGCUGCAGUGGGGAAUAUUGCACAAUGGGCGCAAGCCUGAUGCAGCCAUGCCGCGUGUGUGAAGAAGGCCUUCGGGUUGUAAAGCACUUUCAGCGGGGAGGAAGGCGGUGAGGUUAAUAACCUCAUCGAUUGACGUUACCCGCAGAAGAAGCACCGGCUAACUCCGUGCCAGCAGCCGCGGUAAUACGGAGGGUGCAAGCGUUAAUCGGAAUUACUGGGCGUAAAGCGCACGCAGGCGGUCUGUCAAGUCGGAUGUGAAAUCCCCGGGCUCAACCUGGGAACUGCAUUCGAAACUGGCAGGCGAGAGUCUUGUAGAGGGGGGUAGAAUUCCAGGUGUAGCGGUGAAAUGCGUAGAGAUCUGGAGGAAUACCGGUGGCGAAGGCGGCCCCCUGGACAAAGACUGACGCUCAGGUGCGAAAGCGUGGGGAGCAAAGAGGAUUAGAUACCCGAGUAGUC
rnacentral:rRNA from 1 species